ensembl:lncRNA
GUUUUUGCUAAGUGGGCUGAAAGCAGGUGUACUUGCGGCAGGUCCAUACUCGGUGUACCUGUGUGUGUCUAAUUUCCGCCCGAGUUCGGAAUUAAGGAGCUCAACCCCCUGGGUAAAAAAAAAAAAAGAAAAAGUUUUGGCGGUUAAAUCAAUCCGGAUCCUCUAGACUGCAGUCAUUUUUCAUUUUCAAGAGGAAUCAUUUCAGCUUCAGUAGGCAACUAUAAAGAGGGCAGGACCUGGUCAGACCUCCAGUCAGAUGCAGAAGUGUCUGGACAAAGACUACUAAGCCAUGCUGAGGGAGGUGUUGACUAUAUUAGAGAUGGUGCUGGACCCACAAACCACUGAGAUUGCUUCAACUACAGGAGUUCCAGGUGCAGCCUUUGGUUAUUGAGGAAGGUUUAUUGCCCCUGCAAGACCUUCAUCAACAGUGUAGCCUGGAGCAAAGGAUGCAACAGAGCCCAGAUUACAAGCAAAAACUGGACACACUCAUACUCAAAGUACAACAUUAAACACCACUUUGAUAUGAGGGAACAGUUAUGACCUAAUCUUUGGUAGAAGAGGAAAACAUGGAAAACACACAGGGCAAGAUAACUGCAGGAGUAGUGAGAAGCACUGACCCAGUUGACGAGGUAAACUGGUUGGUGCUUAUUGACGGGGCGGAUGUGUGUGACUGCACCUGGCG